rnacentral:piRNA from 1 species
UACUCUACUGAAACGUGAAAA